rnacentral:tRNA from 1 species
AGCAUAGUGGUAGAGCGUCUCCUUGCCAAGGAGAAUGUCGAGAGUUCGAAUCUCUU